rnacentral:tRNA from 1 species
GCUUUCAUAGUGUAGUGGUUAUCACGUCUGCUUUACACGCAGAAGGUCCCAGGUACGAGCCCUGGUGGGAGCA